rnacentral:rRNA from 1 species
GUGAAAACUCACAGCUUAACUGUGGGCGUGCGGGCGAUACGGGCAGACUAGAGUACUGCAGGGGAGACUGGAAUUCCUGGUGUAGCGGUGGAAUGCGCAGAUAUCAGGAGGAACAUCGGUGGCGAAGGCGGGUCUCUGGGCAGUAACUGACGCUGAGGAGCGAAAGCGUGGGGAGCGAACAGGAUUAGAUACCCUGGUAGUCCACGCCGUAAACGGUGGGUACUAGGUGUGGGUUUCCUUCCUUGGGAUCCGUGCCGUAGCUAACGCAUUAAGUACCCCGCCUGGGGAGUACGGCCGCAAGGCUAAAACUCAAAGGAAUUGACGGGGGCCCGCACAAGCGGCGGAGCAUGUGGAUUAAUUCGAUGCAACGCGAAGAACCUUACCUGGGUUUGACAUGCACAGGACGCCGGCAGAGAUGUCGGUUCCCUUGUGG